rnacentral:lncRNA from 1 species
CCUGUUCUGCCUCAUAACUUUGUAGAAACACUCCGAUGGCUUGACUCAGGAUGACGAACAAGAACACACGCAUAGAUAUACCCAUGUUCAAGCCACCUCACGGUCUAAAAUCAUACUCCUGCUUGUCUACAUUGCUUGUGUGAGAGGGAGCGAGUACAAUGUGAGUUCUUACCCUAAUCGAGUUUGUGUCAUUUGCUGCGAAGGUCGGGCCUCCCUUUUAUGUAGGCCCCGGUCCUCUUGCCCCGAAAACACUCGGCGGGAAGGUUUGCCACAACGGUCAUUUCGAA